GACGAACGCUGGCGGCGUGCUUAACACAUGCAAGUCGAACGGAAAGGCCCUGCUUUUGUGGGGUGCUCGAGUGGCGAACGGGUGAGUAACACGUGAGUAACCUGCCCUUGACUUUGGGAUAACUUCAGGAAACUGGGGCUAAUACCGGAUAGGAGCUCCUGCUGCAUGGUGGGGGUUGGAAAGUUUCGGCGGUUGGGGAUGGACUCGCGGUUUAUCAGCUUGUUGGUGGGGUAGUGGCUUACCAAGGCUUUGACGGGUAGCCGGCCUGAGAGGGUGACCGGCCACAUUGGGACUGAGAUACGGCCCAGACUCCUACGGUAGGCAGCAGUGGGGAAUAUUGCACAAUGGGCGGAAGCCUGAUGCAGCAACGCCGCGUGCGGGAUGACGGCCUUCGGGUUGUGAACCGCUUUCGCCUGUGACGAAGCGUGAGUGACGGUAAUGGGUAAAGAAGCACCGGCUAACUACGUG
rnacentral:rRNA from 1 species